GCAGGAAUGGUUCAGUGGUAGAAUUUUCACCUUCCAUGUGUGAGACCUAGGUUCGAUUCCCAGCCAAUGCA
rnacentral:tRNA from 1 species